UAUUUUCUUCAGUUAAGUUGUGAACUUAAACCAAACCUCUGCAUUGGCAAAAUACUAGCACCUUUAUGCACCGUUUCUUCAUUGGUGGCUGGGCACCGCGGAUGGCAUCCCCUUCUUCGUGGCAUGGCACAGGUUCAUCAGUCAGGUGGUCAGCACCCAAACUAAAACCAUGAGGCAUGGUGGCCAGGAUGACGUCCAAGAAUUGCAUCCCAGCACCACAGAUGGGGGAGCCAACAUGAAGAGGUGUCCAGAGAGGCUUCUUUCGCUUGGGCUUUGCAGCAGCACCAGGACCUCACCAUCAGUGAUGCUGGUCCCCUCAUCCAUCGGGCCUACCCUUACAUUCCUCCCCUGAUACACUGAUCACCUGUACCAGUUGUUGGAGUUUUCAGCAGGGCUCUAAAUUAUUUUUAAUCACUAGUAGCCAAAAUGGCUAGUAUGUUAAUCUCCGGUACAUUAAAUAAUGGGUCAAAGUGCCAAGUAUGUUUUUUCUUUUCUACCAGCAAAACUUAAUUUUCCCAGCAUUUGGCUGGUUGGCUGGUGAGCCCUGGUUGUCAUUGAUAGUGAGUAGUUGUGAUAAUAAAUAACUGAAAUGAUGAAGUCCAUCCA